CCAGACGCCCGGAGUCCGCAAGAAGCUGGAGCUGAGCAGUCCAGAGAAGAUGACCCGAGAGGACAUCCUGAGCCAGCUGCUGGACCAGGAGCUGGAGUCGGGGAAGGAAGUCCUGUCUUCCAGAAGUGGAGAGAGCCUAGAGGAGUCACUGAAGAGAUCCAUGACAGAUGAGUGAAUAACACACCUGUACGUCACCACAGAGUGUUUUUGUUUCUCAAAAUGUAGAAAAUAGUCGACCUCAUCCUUCAAGAGAAAAAUCCACAAACAUGCGCUAUGAAGCAGAAACUUCACACUUUGUCUCUGAAAGUCGUCGUAUCGUUGAGCGUUUCUUUUGGAAGAGAGACCAAGACCACAAAUAACAAGAUAACUCAUCUAAAAAGCAGAAUCACACACCGAUUCAGAGAAUCACAGCAGUAUUUAAAAUAUCAGAAAGCAGGAAUGAGGGACUGUGUGUUCUUUUACUUUGCUAAGAGGAAGAAGAAAAGGCUGUUUGGAUGAAAGUCAGGUAUAAAUGCAGCCUCUGAACACUUGUUAUUGUCUGUCUGUGACAGCUGGUUGUCUUGCAGCAGAAUCCUCUCGUCGUGUGAUGAAUUCCUGUGUUUGUGUCCUCAGACAGGGAAGUCGGUCAGCAGCUCGUGUCCUGACGGUUGGACUCACUACAGGAGACGUUGUUACAUCCUCAGCUCGUCUGUGGCCAGCUGGGCCAGCGCCGAGAGGACCUGCUCUCUGCUCUUUAACAGCAGCCUGACCAGCGUGAAGUCCAGGAGAGACAUGACCUGGCUGUGGAAGUUUGCCGGGAAGAAGCCAUUUUGGAUCGGUGAGUGAACGCUUUCAUCAGUGACGGAUUCAACGUGCAACAAAGAUUCACAAGGUCCAGAACCGUUGUGUUCUGUGUUCAGUCCUGAAAACUCCCUGCAGGCUUUGUGCCAUUCUUUGAAGUGUUAUUACAGGCCUAAUAAGUCUUGAAUUUAAUGUGGGGGACCUGCAGAAAUCCUCAUGGACCACAGUCCAGUUGACAGCAGUAUCAUUAAUAUUCUCUGAUUGUUUCAGGUCCACUGAUAAACUUGUCUUCUUUUUGUUUGCUUGCACCUUGGUAACAUUUUCAGGACUUUUAAGGCUGCGAUCGUGCUUCAUCACCUGAUACUGUGACUUUCAUCAGGCUGAAACAAGUGAUUUAUGUAAAGUCCAGAUACAGAAAAAAGAGAUUUAGGAUGAGAAUACUAAAUCAUCCCCAGUGUCUGCUGAGUGUCCCGGUCAGGAUCCGUCACUGUCCAGUUUCCAGGUAGCCCACUCCUCUUCCAUGUUCCUCAGGUCUGUCUGGAGGUCCGGGUCGCUGGAUGUGGGCUGACGGUCGGUCCGUGUCCUUCUCCAGACUGAGGGGGGCGCCGCAGGGUCGCGUCGGGUCUAACGACGGCUCGGACUGUGUGCUGGUCGAAAACCCCAGGAGCUGGAUUUCCACGAGCUGCUCUGCCGAAACUCAACAUACAUUCAUCUGUUCGUCGGCGGCCCACACUCACUGAGAGACGCGGCAUAUUUACCGCCAUCAGCCCGUCAUAACGACCCGUGUGAACUAAGUCAUAUUUAAUGUUACGCAAUGACGCUGCUCUGUACAUUAGGUUUCAUAUGUUUGUCAUAAUAAAGAUUGCUGCGCAAAACUAAA